rnacentral:lncRNA from 1 species
UUUUCUCAACAUCAUGUAUCAUCUUGUUAUUCUUUAUAAGUUGAUUUUCGCACACUUUACACUCCUUAACAACUUUUUCCACUCACUUGAUGAAUUAGCACUAUAUUCAUCAUGAUCCUCGCCACCAAUAUCUUGGGCUUCUUUAACAAUGUUCAAUCCUUCCUCCACUUUAGUCACUCCCCAAUCUCAUACAAUCAACAAUAAGAACUUCUUUACUAUGACCAAGAAAUAAAAAUAGACCAAUGUUAGCCAAGUUGUUAAUCACACAAUUAAAUACCUCAGCUACAGAGAAUGCUUCAUUUAAAUUGCUUAAUCGGAUCUUUACACACGGCUACUGCAGAAGCCGCGAAAAAAGAAAUUGUAUCCAUGGCAGGGAUGACAAUGACAACAUGUUGAACAACCUAAAG